AGUCGGACGGCAGCACGUUGUAGCAAUACGAUGGUGGCGAGUGGCGGACGGGUGAGUAAUACAUCGAAACGUACCUUAUAGUGGGGGAUAACUCAUCGAAAGAUGAGCUAAUACCGCAUGAGCUCUGAGGAGGAAAAGCUGGGACUUAGAAAUAGGCCAGUUGCUAUAAGAGCGGUCGAUGGCCGAUUAGUUAGUUGGUGAGGUAAAGGCUUACCAAGGCGAUGAUCGGUAGCUGUUCUGAGAGGAAGAUCAGCCACACUGGGACUGAGACACGGCCCAGACUCCUACGGGAGGCAGCAGUGGGGAAUUUUGGACAAUGGGGGGAACCCUGAUCCAGCAACGCCGCGUGAAUGAAGAAGGCCUUAGGGUUGUAAAGUUCUUUUGUCUAGGGGCAAGUUUAUUUGGUUAAGAGCUAGGUAAAUUGAGAGUACUAGAAGAAUAAGCACCGGCUAACUACGUGCCAGCAGCCGCGGUAAUACGUAGGGUGCGAGCGUUAAUCGGAAUUACUGGGCGUAAAGGGUGCGUAGGCGGAUGUAUAAGUUAGAUGUGAAAUCCCUGAGCUUAACUUAGGAAUAGCAUUUAAGACUGUACGUCUAGAGUAUGUCAGAGGAUGGUAGAAUUCCAAGUGUAGCAGUGAAAUGCGUAGAGAUUUGGAGGAAUACCGGUGGCGAAGGCGGCCAUCUGGGAUAAUACUGACGCUGAGGCACGAAAGCGUGGGGAGCAAACAGGAUUAGAUACCCUGGUAGUCCACGCUGUAAACGAUGUCUACUUGCUGUUGGAUGUGAAAGUUCAGUAGCGAAGCAAACGCGAGAAGUAGACCGCCUGGGGAGUACGGUCGCAAGANUAAAACUCAAAGGAAUUGACGGGGACCCGCACAAGCGGUGGNUGAUGUGGAUUAAUUCGAUGCAACGCGAAGAACCUUACCUGCUCNUGACAUGCUAAGAAUGGNGUUGAGAUA
rnacentral:rRNA from 1 species